AGUGAACGCUGGCGGUAGGCCUAACACAUGCAAGUCGAACGGCAGCACAGGAGAGCUUGCUCUCUGGGUGGCGAGUGGCGGACGGGUGAGGAAUACAUCGGAAUCUACUUUUUCGUGGGGGAUAACGUAGGGAAACUUACGCUAAUACCGCAUACGACCUACGGGUGACAGCAGGGGAUCUUCGGACCUUGCGCGAUUGAAUGAGCCGAUGUCGGAUUAGCUAGUUGGCGGGGUAAAGGCCCACCAAGGCGACGAUCCGUAGCUGGUCUGAGAGGAUGAUCAGCCACACUGGAACUGAGACACGGUCCAGACUCCUACGGGAGGCAGCAGUGGGGAAUAUUGGACAAUGGGCGCAAGCCUGAUCCAGCCAUACCGCGUGGGUGAAGAAGGCCUUCGGGUUGUAAAGCCCUUUUGUUGGGAAAGAAAUCCAGCUGGUUAAUACUCGGUUGGGAUGACGGUACCCAAAGAAUAAGCACCGGCUAACUACGUGCCAGCCGCCGCUGUAA
rnacentral:rRNA from 1 species